AGCGAACGCUGGCGGUAGGCCUAACACAUGCAAGUCGAACGGCAGCACAGUAAGAGCUUGCUCUUACGGGUGGCGAGUGGCGGACGGGUGAGGAAUACAUCGGAAUCUACUUUUUCGUGGGGGCUAAUGCAGGGAAACUUACGCUAAUACCGCAUACGACCUACGGGUGAAAGCAGGGGAUCUUCGGACCUUGCGCGAUUGAAUGAGCCGAGGUCGGAUUAGCUAGUUGGCGGGGUAAAGGCCCACCAAGGCGACGAUCCGUAGCUGGUCUGAGAGGAUGAUCAGCCACACUGGAACUGAGACACAGUCCAGACUCCUGCGGGGGGCAGCAGUGGGGAAUAUUGGGCAAUGGGGGCAAGCCUGAUCCAGGCAUACCGCGUGAGUGAAGAAGGCCUUCGGGUUGUAGAGCCCUUUUGUUGGGAAAGAAAAACAGCAGUUUAAUACCCCACUAUACUGACGGUACCCAAAGAAUAAGCACCGGCUAACUUCGUG
rnacentral:rRNA from 1 species